UACGGAGGGUGCAAGCGUUGUCCGGAUUUAUUGGGUUUAAAGGGUGCGUAGGCGGCUCGUUAAGUCCGGGGUGAAGCCCGUUGCUCAACAACGGAACUGCCCUGGAAACUGGCGAGCUUGAGUACAGACGAGGGUGGCGGAAUGGAUGCUGUAGCGGUGAAAUGCAUAGAUAGCAUCCAGAACCCCGAUUGCGAAGGCAGCUGCCUAGACUGUAACUGACGCUGAGGCACGAAAGCGUGGGGAGCGAACAGG
rnacentral:rRNA from 1 species